UAGAGCCUUCGCCUAUAAAAGUCAUUAAGAGUGUCCAUGUAAGGGGUCUUCUAUUUCAAUCAUCAGAAUUACCCCGUCGAAGACCUUCUCUCACUUUCCACAUCUGAAAAUUGGAAUCAAAACUCAAAAAUCAAAUAAAUCGAAAACAGAAGAAAAAUCAAAAAAAAUUCUAAUAUUCCAUUGAAGUUAGAGAUUGAUUUCAGUUUCUAUUUGUCAAUUCACAUUUUGUAAUUACUAUUGCUGCUUGUUGAAGUGUAGAGGUUCAUUUCAAGUGCAAUUGAAUCAAAUUAAGUGGGUUUUUCGGCUAAGUUUUGCACCAGUGAAGUUUCAUAAGGGUUUAAGUUCGGAUUUGAACUAGUUUGGGUAUUUUACUGGUUGUCUAUGCAUUGAUGUUCACUUGAUUGGUUUGUUGCUGUGUUGAAGUGGAUCUGCUAAACUCUGUUUGAUUUAAACAUUUCUGGGUUGCUCAUUCUAUUUCCUGGGCUGUUUUUAGUAUUGAACUGUUGUUGCUAUUCACCUGCUCCUCCUGACUCUUGUUUCUUCUUGCUGUGAUUUAAAAUCCAGGUACAUAUGCACUACCUAUACUGAUCUGGAGUGUAUGAAUUGUUUGAGAAAAUCAAUGAAGAAGAAGUUUGGUUUAUUUGUCUGACGUUCGUUGGAGUUUUGACCAGCUUUUCAUGUUUAGUUUAACUGUUCAUACUUAAUUGUGAUUAGAACAUUUGUUUGGACUAUUGAAUUUGUACCAUUUGGACCGAAAUGGAUGAAUUAAGAAUUAUUGGUAUUAUCUAAAUUUAACAUUGUGAGUUUGAGUGGUAAUUAAGUUCAUGUGGAGUUGGUAAAAUAAUCUAGGUUCAGCAUCAGUCAUUUCCCAUCCUAUGUUUCGUGGAUUUGCUUGGAAAGUGAUUCAAUGGUAGAAUAGCUUUUAAGUAGGUGAUUUUCGUUUUUGAUCUGUAAUUAAAAAGGGAAUUUGAAUAGUACAAUUCACGUCUACUAUGAUAACUGAAUAAUUUAGUCAUAUAGAGUGGGGUCCAGGUUAAAGUUAGAAUAUUUAUUUGUGUACAAAUCAUUAAGUCCAUAUGUGUGCCUUCUAGUCAUUAUCAAAAGAAAUC
rnacentral:lncRNA from 1 species